UACGUAGGGGGGCAAGCGUUUGUCCGGAUUUAUUGGGCGUAAAGAGCGUGUAGGCGGCCACACAGGUCAGCUGUGAAAACUCGAGGCUCAACCUCGAGACGUCGGUUGAAACCGUAUGGCUAGAGUCCGGAAGAGGAGAGUGGAAUUCCCGGUGUAGCGGUGAAAUGCGCAGAUAUCGGGAAGAACACCCGUGGCGAAGGCGGCUCUCUGGGACGGUACUGACGCUGAGACGCGAAAGCGUGGGGGAGCGAACAGG
rnacentral:rRNA from 1 species